rnacentral:rRNA from 1 species
UGGGGAAUUUUGGACAAUGGGCGAAAGCCUGAUCCAGCAAUGCCGCGUGUGUGAAGAAGGCCUUCGGGUUGUAAAGCACUUUUGUCCGGAAAGAAAUCCUUGGCUCUAAUACAGUCGGGGGAUGACGGUACCGGAAGAAUAAGCACCGGCUAACUACGUGCCAGCAGCCGCGGUAAUACGUAGGGUGCAAGCGUUAAUCGGAAUUACUGGGCGUAAAGCGUGCGCAGGCGGUUUGCUAAGACCGAUGUGAAAUCCCCGGGCUCAACCUGGGAACUGCAUUGGUGACUGGCAGGCUAGAGUAUGGCAGAGGGGGGUAGAAUUCCACGUGUAGCAGUGAAAUGCGUAGAGAUGUGGAGGAAUACCGAUGGCGAAGGCAGCCCCCUGGGCCAAUACUGACGCUCAUGCACGAAAGCGUGGGGAGCAAACAGGAUUAGAUACCCUGGUAGUCCACGCCCUAAAACGAUGUCAACUAGUUGUUGGGGAUUCAUUUCCUUAGUAACGUAGCUAACGCGUGAAGUUGACCGCCUGGGGGAGUACGGUCGCAAGAUUAAAACUCAAAUGAAUUGACGGGGUCAUAGCUGUUUCCU